CCGUUCACGACCGAGUGAGAAACCGUUGCCUACGGAUCAGUGUGAACCUGGCGCUGCUCACUCUCUCCACCACAGCACCGUCGAUGGUCAGCGGCAGGUGUUGGGUGUGACCCUUCCGGAAGUCAACAACAAUCUCCUUGGUCUUGUCGACGUUCAGCAGGAGGUUGUUGUCCCUGCACCACGUGGUCAGAAGGUCAACCUCCAGCCUGUAUUGAGUCUCGUCUCCCUUGGUGAUGAGACCCACCAGAGUCGUGUCGUCAGCAAACUCCACUAUACGGUUGUCGCUGUAGGUUGCAGUGCAGUCAUGCGUCAGGAGGGUGAAGAGCAGCGGACUGAGCACACAGCCUUGGGGGGCUCCCUUGCUCAGCGUGAUGCUGGCGGAGAUUUUGUCGCCAACACGUACUACCUGUGGCCUCUGACAGAGGAAGUCCAGUAGCCAGUUGCAGAGGUUCUCGUAAUAAAGAUGCUCUUGUGGGAAGCGAGAGUCAGACUUCAUUCGACCAUCGCUGUAAGCACAGCGACGAGUGAACUCUCCGCCUGCAGGUGUCUAAAACGA